GUCAGUACUCCUGUACUCUCUUUCUUCUCUUCACCGGCAACCCCUCCCCGUUUAUCUCCCUCCAAUUAAUCCACCCCUUUUUUUAUCCAGUUCUUUUCAUUCUUUUUCAAAUUUUUCUCAUCUCGAUUUUUAUUCUUUCUCAAAUAUAAUAAGUGGUUUGAGUAAAGAAAGUUUACGAGUUUUGAACUUAAGCAAGGAGAGAGAUAGAGCACCUUGAAGUUUUCGGCCAGAUUUAUGAAGGCAUGUUGUUUUACUUAUGAUUUGAGACUUUUUGGAAAAGAGAUAUGGUUAUUGGUUGGUCGCCAGUGAACUGGAGGUAGCAGUCAUGGGGUUUUCUGGCGGUCAAAACUUCUAUCCCUAAUUGAAAACAAAAUUAAGAAGAGAAAUAGGAAAAGGGAUGAAGGAAGCUGAUUAACUUCUUGGAUUUGGAAUUUGCCGGAGGCUUUUCCGGCAGUAUAUUUAUUUACUGGUUUGGCGGGUUGGGAGUGGGGAUGGGGAGGUGUUUCAGUGGAG
rnacentral:lncRNA from 1 species